rnacentral:tRNA from 1 species
GCUUCCGUGGCGCAAUUGGCUAGCGCGUUCGACUGUUACAAGCACCUGGGCAUACCCCCAAUGGGCAGCGCUGGUGCUUGCAAUCGAGAGGUUGACAGUUCAAUCCUGUCCGGAAGCG